AAUAAAAAUUACGAAACGGAAGAAAGUGAGUAAAUUAGAGGAUCUCUAAGGCCUAACAAACGAAAACGCCCAAUACCCACAGAAUCUUAAAGACCCGAUCCUAGAUUGACUCAACCCUUCAGCCUAGUGAAGCUCUAACCAGUUGUGCCGCUCUAACCAGGUGUGCCGCUCCCCCUCUUCAGUCAAUUCCCGUUAGUUCUACUUAAAGAUGCCAAAUCAGAAGAGAUCUCCUCUUUCAAUUGUAGCCAGACAGCAAGACAGUAAAUUGAGAAUUAGAACAGGAUUUGCACCGGCCAGGCAUCAAGGAACUAGGGGCUUCCAAAGCAAGGACAAAUGAGGCUUCGAAAUCGUAGAAGACAUGCAUCGUCGGAUUAGUCAAGGAGUGAUGGAUCCUGACCCUGACAAAGGGAAGGUGACACUUUCGCAAUCAUAUCAAGGUACCAACAGCAGAGCCAAGUGUCGCAGGUGACAGUCCCACGAGCUCUCAGAAGGAUGGUGCUCGUAGGCCUAUGGGAGUAGCAAAAUUGUCCAAGGAAUGAAGAGACAGGCCAAUCGUUGGGGAAGAGUAGCAACGGGGCUAUUGGGUUAGCCUAUUCUACCAAUAGUACAAUUUUACCAGCAGUGGCAGGCCUACGAGAGCCAAUGGGUCUACAAGGUGCGCAGGAAUUGCGAGGCACAUAAGAGAUGCGAUAUACUUGUAUAUAGCUUAGAUUUUGUAUUUUCAUGCACAUAUAUCUAAUAGAGUGUUUUGAUUAUUAUUUGUGAACUCUUUGAUCUAUUCUUAUCUAGUUUCAACGCACAUCUCUAUUGUCUAAAUUGGCAUAUUUGAGAGAAGAUUAACUAAUAUUUUCAAGGUUGGAGUGAUUUUACUAGUACCUCACAAAUACUUUAAUUAGAAUAAAGCAUUUUAUCCAUGACAAAAAAAAAACUUCCAAUGAUCAACACUAGUGCGAGAAGAUCACUGAGUUGUUUUCUGCUAGCUCCCAAUGCCUCCUCCCCCCAAGAUGCAAUCUUGAAAAGCACAGAUUUGGAGGCCGCCACCUAUAAAAAAUGAAAAAAUGAAACCAACAAAUCAUUGAGAAAAGUUUUUCUCUCUAAACGUUAGUAAUAUUUUGAAUAACUAAUUGUCCAUUAUCAUCAAUGUGGGGCCUGCAGCUAUGUAAAUGGUUAUUCUCCAGCUCGUGUCUAAUUGUUGUGGGUAGGCGGCCUAAGGUGGCUUUGCAGGCCCCACACUUCACGUCGAUGGUUCUUUCUUGGAACCUUCAAGCUUCUUUUUAGAGAUCUCAUAAAGGUGAAUAAGCGCUUCUAGAUGCUCAUUACAUCUACGCGGGCAGAUGAGGA
rnacentral:lncRNA from 1 species